GAUGAACGCUGGCGGCGUGCCUAAUACAUGCAAGUCGAGCGAACGGACGAGAAGCUUGCUUCUCUGAUGUUAGCGGCGGACGGGUGAGUAACACGUGGAUAACCUACCUAUAAGACUGGGAUAACUUCGGGAAACCGUAGCUAAUACCGGAUAAUAUUUUGAACCGCAUGGUUCAAAAGUGAAAGACGGUCUUGCUGUCACUUAUAGAUGGAUCCGCGCUGCAUUAGCUAGUUGGUAAGGUAACGGCUUACCAAGGCAACGAUGCAUAGCCGACCUGAGAGGGUGAUCGGCCACACUGGAACUGAGACACGGUCCAGACUCCUACGGGAGGCAGCAGUAGGGAAUCUUCCGCAAUGGGCGAAAGCCUGACGGAGCAACGCCGCGUGAGUGAUGAAGGUCUGCGGAUCGUAAAACUCUGUUAUUAGGGAAGAACAUAUGUGUAAGUAACGGUGCACAUCUUGACGGUACCUAAGCAGAAAGCCACGGCUAACUACGU
rnacentral:rRNA from 1 species